rnacentral:rRNA from 1 species
AGUGAACGCUGGCGGUAGGCCUAACACAUGCAAGUCGAACGGCAGCACAGUAAGAGCUUGCUCUUACGGGUGGCGAGUGGCGGACGGGUGAGGAAUACAUCGGAAUCUACUUUUUCGUGGGGGAUAACGUAGGGAAACUUACGCUAAUACCGCAUACGACCUACGGGUGAAAGCAGGGGAUCUUCGCACCUUGCGCGAUUGAAUGAGCCGAUGUCGGAUUAGCUAGUUGGCGGGGUAAAGGCCCACCAAGGCGACGAUCCGUAGCUGGUCUGAGAGGAUGAUCAGCCACACUGGAACUGAGACACGGUCCAGACUACUACGGGAGGCAGCAGUGGGGAAUAUUGGACAAUGGGCGCAAGCCUGAUCCAGCCAUACCGCGUGGGUGAAGAAGGCCUUCGGGGUGGAAAGCCCUUUUGUUGGGAAAGAAAAGCAGCAGGUUAAUACCCCGCUGUUCUGACGGUACCCAAAGAAUAAGCACCGGCUAACUUCGUG